UCUUAUGUGAAUAAGAAAUGAAAGUUCUCAUUUUCAUUCUCUAGCUUACUUCUUUCGCUAUUCAUAGUUGGUGUACACGAACAGGAUUAAAUACUAACUAAAUUACAUUGUUAAUUAGUUGGUGUUUAACUAAACAAUUACAACAAACCCUUCUUUUUUUCCUUCUUUCAGUUCUGAAUGUAUGAUUUCUGGGGUUUCCUCCAUUUACUCAAAUUUAUGCGCCGGUCAUGAUGGGUUGUGUUUUUAAGCUGAAAUUUCAAAGAGGGGUACUUAUGAUCCUAAUCAACGAAGUUUAGUAAUUUGAUCAAGGAGUUAUCACUGUAAUCUACAAAUUUUUUGUAGUUCGAUUAAAGAGCUUUUUCAACAUGAAAAGAGCGGUUAUGCCUUUGAAGUGUUUGAGAAAAUGGCUAAAUAAAGAGUUUUGGGGUGUUGGAAGCAUGCCCUUCUAGCUUUUGCCACCAUCUCUUUGCUAAUUUGCUUUCAUAUGGCUUCAUGGGUGCAAUUAUAAGGCAUAAAUUGAGAGAGCCGCGAAACCUAAAGAAGGAAACCGUAAAGAACAGUACAAGUCGAUAAUAUCGUUAUUAAUCAACUAAAGUAAGUGGCAGUAAUAAGUAACUGGAGACGAUGAAGUAGGAGUUGUCUGCCUCUCUGCAAAUGAAGUGUGAUGAAAUAAAGUCGAUAAUAUCGUUAUUAAUCAACUAAAGUAAGUGGCAUUAAUAAGUUACUGGAAACGAUGAAGUAGGAGUUGUCUGCCUCUCUGCAAAUAAAGUAUGAUGGUUGGAUUAAAGUUCUCAAGGAGUUCAGAUGUUAUCCAUAAAUUUUAUAAACAAAAGAGUUUGACAUCGAUCUUUUACCUGUAAUUAUAGACAUGCUGUUCUUUCUUUUACUAACCUCGCCAAGAUUUAUUUUGGAGUCACAAGAACACCGUAUUAUGAGUGAUUGAAGGUCUUAUACUUUUUCAUGAUUUUACAAUACAUCCGACCUUUAUGUCUUUGCAUGUUCCUCAUGCUUUAACUAAAAUAGGUUAAGUUUAGAAAUGUAUCUUUUAUGGUUAACUUCCAGGGGCAUGAUUUGUAUUACAGAAAACUACUUUGUCAAAUACCGCAGUCGAUAACUUCUCUGAAUACUCACCAGUAAAUUUAAUGAUCUACUCAGGUUGCAGUUACCGAACGCUUAGGUAGCCUUUAUGUUUCUCCAACAAUAGUUGGGAGCACGCCUUGGGGACUGAGUAUCGGGCCUUGGGAGCAAUGAUGAGUCUAGGCCGAGAAGGAUAAAGGAGAUUCUUGAGCUAUUUAUCAUUGGAAGGUCAGACAUGACGAUUGUUGUAUUCGACUCAACGGAUUUAGACAUAUUCAAAGUCAAUCAUAUCAUGUCUUCCGAAGACUGGCAUUUGAAAUCACUACAGAAACCUAACACGUGUAGGGACUGCCAACUGCCAAGACAACACCAUUACUUGCAAACAAAAUUCAUGUACACCAGGAAAAAGGAAACUAGCUGCUGGGUUAUCAAUGGAACAGAAAAUACUUAGUGUGGUUGGUGCAUCAAGUGGUAUUGCUAAAAUGGAGAUAUUUCCUGCCCUUUAUUUCACUACAUUACAAGGUUUCUUUUCCUAAGAGAACAUUCAGUACCACAAUGCUUGCCCCAUGGAAUGGUCAAUGAAUCCACCACCUCCACAUGCGGAGAACAUUUUCAGCAUCACCCCGUGGUCAAUGAAUCAUGGCUGGGGACUACUGCUGGAUCUACUGGCACUACUAAUAUCAUCUUCCCUAGCAGUUACAUGACACUACAAAAUAUCUGAAGGCAACACAACAAGUGCAGCAUGAGCCCUAAACACUUCAGCGGAUUAUAUGGUUGUAUUCUACUGCUUUAGUUUUUGGUUUUGUUGGGAAGGCGACCUUGGUCUAAAUAUAUGUAUGUAGAAUUCAAAGAAAAAGUUACGCUUUGUAACGACCGCUUUUACUUCUAAUUGCCAGAUAUGUACUAUAAUGAACAUGUGGCAAAGGUUUUUCCCUUUUCUGUAUAUACAAAAAUCCGACCUGAUGAUCACAUAAAGUGAACUAUUCAAUGGGAAAGUAAGAUUUCAUCAAAAUGUUUGCUAUA